ensembl:lncRNA
UUUCUUUCUCCGAAGCAGUCAAGUUUUAGCCAUUCCGUCUUGCGAUGGCCUGGGGAAACGGCCAAUUCUCCUAAAACACAAAACAAACACCAAACCCAACAAACAAACAAACAAUGGUUGCCUAUCCCAGUUGAAAACCGCCCCUCUCCGCCUGCAGAGGGCGCCUCGUGGUCGCCUUUCCUUCCCAGCUGAGCUCCCACGCUCGCUUGAGCCUCCCUCUCUUUCCUCCCCUCCGCAGGAUUUGAAUGACAUCAGGGCUGCUGGAGGGAGAGGGCGGGCCCUCUUCCCGGGGGAGGGGCUCCCGAAAAGCCUCCGCGCAGCUGGCCGCCCCCGGUGGCAGAAGAAGAGCGCCGGGGAGACCCCCACCCACCCCAUCCACCCAACCACCCACCCGCCGUCUCUUCCAAAAGCGCUCGGCCGGGCUGGCUGCAAGGCGGAGCCCGGCGGGUGCAGCUCAAUGGUGGCGCUCAUGUGGUCGGAGCUGCUGCCGGAGGAGCGCUCGGCCGGGCUCUCCAAGGCAGCCCCGAGCGCCUCUUCGAGGGCUGCCGCCGACUCCGCAGCCUCUGGGAUGCCGUCCGCUUGGAGGUGGCCGCCGAAGAAGCCAGCCCGGUGGUCCUGCACAGUUUCACCCAGCUGGAUCCGGAUCUGCCCCCGCUGGAGCUUUAAUUUUGCUGCUGCUUUUCACCACCCUUUAAGAGAACCGAGAGAUCCCUGUAUCCUGUGGCAGGGAGUUCCACCAGCAGCAAAGAGAAUAUAUAAAAUGCCAUUUUCUUUGGCUAGAACGGAAGAGAUGGGAUCUGUUAACCUCUUUUAUACUCUCAAACUUUUGUUAGGAAGGGGGGAAUAAACAGUUUCUGCUUCUCUGUGCUUUGCACAUUACAAAACUAGAAGAUAACACAUUACGUUCCCAGAGGCUCACCUGUUUGUUCUCUAUUCCCAGAUAUUCUCUUAUAUUUGCUAUUUUUAUACUGAAUAAAGCUACUUUUACGACCGUUUGUCCAGUACUGCCAUCAAAAUACAGCUACGUUUUAUGAUUGCCUUUAUGACCAAACUCUUCCCUGCCGUUUUCCUUUCAAAUGAGGCUUCUGGGGGGUUUUUUUCCCCGCUUUAUUCUCGGACGGCUUGAAAAUUUCUUCUGAAUUUCUCUUGCUGUUUUUGAGCCCAGCAGCCGGGGUGGUAGUGGUGGAGAAACAGCUGCUAUUUCUUUGCCUUCCCUGACAUUUUCUGCCCUCCCUUGAAUUGAAAGUCUCCUUGCUAUCUGCACUUUCCAAUCUGGGGUGGAAAAAAAAAUGGCCCAGUUGAGUGUCUUAGAAUCACAACGUUUUUAAAGUUAGAAGGGGGCACGAGAUCAUCCAGUCCAGCCCGCCCUUCUUCAGUGCGAAAAUCCAGAUUGAAACGUCUCGACCAGCCAAACAGGUAGUCCUCAACUUACAACUGUUCGUUUAGUGAACUGUUCAACUUUACUACGGCACUUAAAAAGUGACUUAUGGCCAUGGUUCACACUUAUGACCGUUGCAGCCUCCCCGUGGUCAAAAUUUGGGCCCUUGGCAACUGACUCGUAUUUAUGAUUUAUGGUUGCCCUGUCCUGGGUUCAUCUCUGCUAACUCCAUCAACUUUUGCAGCCAUUCGUCCAUUGUGAGGAUCGAAACGUCCUUCCAUUUUUGUGCAUAAAGUAAAUUCCAAUUUUUUGCCCCCCCAAGUCUUUUUUCAUUAAACCCAAAAAGAAAAGUUUCUAUUCUGUUUUGACUAGUCCUACCUUGCUGGAUUUAUUGGGGUGAUAAAGUGAUCCUCAAGUGAGCCACAUCUUCUUGACCACACUUUUUAAGCUAAGGAGAGAUAAAAAUACAAAAUACAAAUACAAUUUUUCCCCCCUAACCCAAGGCUAUCUCUUUGUUUCCCCUGGGGCCUUGAAGAUUUUCCUAACCUUCAACGAGAUUUCUUGCCUUCUCUUGUAACUUCAAACCUUUGUUCUCUUUUUCUGUACCCUGG